GUCUGCGGCCAUGCCACCCUGAAUAAGCCCGAUGUCUGAUCUUGGAAGCUAAGCGGGGGUCAGGCCUGGUUAGUACUUGGAUGGGAGACCACCUAGGAAGACCAGGUGCUAUAGGCA
rnacentral:rRNA from 1 species